UCUCUGGAGGACUAGUGGUUAGGCCUCUGCACUUUCACCACCGUGGCCCGGGUUUGAUUCCUACCCAGAGAA